CGGUAAUACGAAGGGCCCGAGCGUUAUUCGGAAUCACUGGGCUUAAAGCGUACGUAGGCUGGUAUAUAGGCAUUUUGUGAAAUCCCUCGGCUCAACCGAGGAACUGCAAGGUGAACCAUAUAUCUUGAGACAGACAGAGGUCGUCGGAACGAUUGGUGGAGUGGUGAAAUGCGUUGAUAUCAAUCGGAACGCCGAAGGAGAAGUCAGGCGACUGGGUCUGUUCUGACGCUGAGGUACGAAAGCGUGGGUAGCGAACGGGAUUAGAUACCCCGGUAGUCCACGCCGUAAACAAUGUGCACUAGGUCGAGGGCGUUCUGACGCGACUCUCGGCCGAAGCGAAAGUGUUAAGUGCACCGCCUGGGGAGUACGGUCGCAAGGCUAAAACUCAAAGGAAUUGACGGGGGCUCACACAAGCGGUGGAGCAUGUGGCUUAAUUCGAAGCAACGCGAAGAACCUUAUCCUAGGUUUGACAUACACGGAUUAGCUAUAAGAAACUAUAGUGACACCUUCGGGUGGAACGUGAACAGGUGCUGCAUGGCUGUCGUCAGCUCGUGCUGUGAAGUGUCGGGUUAAGUCCCUUAACGAGCGCAACCCUUAUCGUUAGUUGCUAACAGGUAAUGCUGAGGACUCUAGCGAGACUGCCGGUGUUAAACCGGAGGAAGGUGGGGAUGACGUCAAGUCCGCAUGGCCUUUAUGCCUAGGGCUGCACACGUGCUACAAUGGCAAGUACAGAACGAUGCAAUACCGCGAGGUGGAGCAAAUCGCUAAAGCUUGCCCCAGUUCGGAUUGCAGGCUGCAACUCGCCUGCAUGAAGUUGGAAUCGCUAGUAAUCGCGGAUCAGCACGCCGCGGUGAAUACGUUCCUGAG
rnacentral:rRNA from 1 species